AUGCAUUCAGACAGACAUUUCAAACACCACUUUUUAUUGAAAACGGUUUAUGAGGAGCUGGACGCAGCCACUGCUGCCCGACGGGGCUUGGGCACGGUUCCCUCACGGAAUCCAUUUCUGAACCUGCGGAAAACAACCUUCAUGUGUCUCAUGCGGCCGGUUCCAGUGGUGCUGCGUCUCUUGGCCUUAACGCUCCAGUUGUCUGCAAACAAAAACAAGUAUACUUUAAAAUGCAUGAAAAUAAAACGCAUUCCUCUAGCCAUCCAGAAACAUCUCAGGCUUACCUCAGUUCAAACCUGUUAUCACUGGACAGUCAUUUGUUCAGACAUUUAUUUUUAGACAUCACUGGUAAGCUUUGAUAUGCCAGACAGAACACAUGCAUUUUUGUAGUUCUCCGUCUCUCUCUCUUUUUUUUUUCUUAUUUAAUAAAUUGUGUGCAAGUUUAAAGGAAUAGUUCACACCCAAAAAAAACCAAAAGGCAUUUUCAUUGUAAACCAUUGCAACUGGUCAGAAAGUCUUAAUGAUGGUUUCUUAGAAAGCCUUUAUCUGAAGGACUGGAAGCAGAAAGCCUAACCAUCUAAACUCAUGCUACUAAAGUCACUCAGAAACACAACUCGCUUCGUAACGCUGAUCUGAAGGUUUAAUUUAGACAUUUAAACGAUUUCAGAGCUAACCGGUAUAUUUCUCGAGCUCGUUGGAAUUGACCGUGAAGCAUAAGCGACAUGCUAACCGACAAAAUAUCAUCUAAAACCUUUCAGCAUUGAGGAAUCACAAACAUAACAGAUAAUAUCGAGUCUUGAAUAUAUAUGCUUGUGCUAUUAUUAAUGGUUCAGUGAUUAUAAACGAGAUAUGAAUCAGAUGUAAGAGGAUUGUGAAGGCAAGGCGCUGUGAAACUCACCAUCUUUCCUCAGAGCUGAUCGAAAGAGACCGGAAGAGACGCUGGUGUACCAUUAAAAAACCACCGGAGCGCUUUCGGUGCAACACCUAAAUGCGUCCCCCAAGUGUUACACUGCGGACUUGAGCAUGCAUUUUCACCCUUUUGCUCACAAAAAGAUUAGUUACAGAAAUGCCAUGUAGAUUUAUGAUGACAAAAUUUAUAUUUUUAUAUCAUAUUGAAAACCAUAGUGAAU
rnacentral:lncRNA from 1 species